CCUACGGGAGGCAGCAGUGAGGAAUAUUGGUCAAUGGGCGCGAGCCUGAACCAGCCAAGUAGCGUGAAGGAUGACUGCCCUACGGGUUGUAAACUUCUUUUAUAAAGGAAUAAAGUGAGGCACGUGUGCCUUUUUGUAUGUACUUUAUGAAUAAGGAUCGGCUAACUCCGUGCCAGCAGCCGCGGUAAUACGGAGGAGCCGAGCGUUAUCCGGAUUUAUUGGGUUUAAAGGGAGCGUAGAUGGGUUGUUAAGUCAGUUGUGAAAGUUUGCGGCUCAACCGUAAAAUUGCAAUUGAUACUGGCAGUCUUGAGUACAGUAGAGGUAGGCGGAAUUCGUGGUGUAGCGGUGAAAUGCGUAGAUAUCACGAAGAACACCGAUUGCGAAGGCAGCUUACUAAACUGCCACUGACAUUGAUGCUCGAAAGUGUGGGGAGCAAACAGGAUUAGAUACCCCAGUAGUC
rnacentral:rRNA from 1 species